rnacentral:rRNA from 1 species
CCGGAUUUACUGGGUGUAAAGGGAGCGUAGACGGUGUGGCAAGUCUGAUGUGAAAGGCAUGGGCUCAACCUGUGGACUGCAUUGGAAACUGUCAUACUUGAGUGCCGGAGGGGUGAGUGGAAUUCCUAGUGUAACGGUGAAAUGCGUAGAUAUUAGGAG